UACAGGGGGUGCAAACGUUGCUCGGAAUCAUUGGGCGUAAAGCGCACGUAGGCGGUCUGUUAUGUCGGAUGUGAAAGCCCUUGGCUCAACUGAGGAAGUGCAUCCGAAACUGGCAGGCUAGAGUACUAAAGAGGAUCGCGGAAUUCCCGGUGUAGAGGUGAAAUUCGUAGAUAUCGGGAGGAACACCGGUGGCGAAGGCGGCGCUCUGGACCGAGACUGACGCUGAGGGGCGAAAGCGUGGGGAGCAAACAGG
rnacentral:rRNA from 1 species